rnacentral:rRNA from 1 species
UGGGGAAUCUUGCACAAUGGGGGAAACCCUGAUGCAGCCAUGCCGCGUGUGUGAAGAAGGCCUUCGGGUUGUAAAGCACUUUCAGCGAGGAGGAAAGGUGAUCGUUUAAUAAACGGUUGCUGUGACGUUACUCGCAGAAGAAGCACCGGCUAACUCCGUGCCAGCAGCCGCGGUAAUACGGAGGGUGCAAGCGUUAAUCGGAAUUACUGGGCGUAAAGCGCGCGUAGGUGGUUUGUUAAGUGGGAUGUGAAAGCCCCGGGCUCAACCUGGGAAUUGCACCCCAAACUGGCAAACUAGAGUACAAGAGAGGGGUGUGGAAUUUCCUGUGUAGCGGUGAAAUGCGUAGAUAUAGGAAGGAACAUCAGUGGCGAAGGCGACGCCCUGGCUUGAUACUGACACUGAGGUGCGAAAGCGUGGGGAGCAAACAGG